AACGAACGCUGGCGGCAGGCUUAACACAUGCAAGUCGAACGGGUGCAGCAAUGCACCAGUGGCAGACGGGUGAGUAACACGUGGGAACCUUCCUAGGAGUACGGAACAACUCAGGGAAACUUGAGCUAAUACCGUAUACGUCCGUGAGGAGAAAGAUUUAUCGCCCUUAGACGGGCCCGCGUCAGAUUAGCUAGUUGGUGGGGUAACGGCCUACCAAGGCGACGAUCCGUAGCUGAUCUUAGAGGAUGAUCAGCCACACUGGGACUGAGACACGGCCCAGACUCCUACGGGAGGCAGCAGUGGGGAAUCUUGGACAAUGGGCGCAAGCCUGAUCCAGCCAUGCCGCGUGAGUGAAGAAGGUCUUCGGAUUGUAAAGCUCUUUUGCCAGGGACGAUAAUGACGGUACCUGGAGAAUAAGCCCCGGCAAACUUCGUGCCAGCCGCCGCCGUAAUAC
rnacentral:rRNA from 1 species